AGAGUUUGAUCAUGGCUCAGAACGAACGUUGGCGGCGUGGAUUAGGCAUGCAAGUCGAACGAAGACAGCUUGGUAGCAAUAUUGAGCUGGACUGAGUGGCGAAAGGGGCAGUAAUGCGUGGGCAACCUACCUCCGGGAUGGGCAUAGCCGGCCUAACGGCCGGGUAAUUCCCAGCGAUUUGGCGAGGCGGCAUCGUUUUGCCAAGAAAUGGAUUCCGCCUGGAGAGGGGCUCACGUCGUAUUAGCUAGUUGGCGGGGUAACGGCCCACCAAGGCGAAGAUGCGUAGCGGGUGUGAGAGCACGACCCGCGCCACUGGCACUGAGACACUGGCCAGACACCUACGGGUGGCUGCAGUCGAGGAUCUUUGGCAAUGGGCGCAAGCCUGACCAAGCGACGCCGCGUGUGCGAUGAAGGCCUUCGGGUUGUAAAGCACUGUCGAGGGGGAUAAAACCGCAAGGUGAUAGAUUCCUGAGAAG
rnacentral:rRNA from 1 species